CCUACGGGUGGCAGCAGUGGGGGAUAUUGCACAAUGGGGGAAACCCUGAUGCAGCGACGCCGCGUGGGUGAAGAAGUAUUUCGGUAUGUAAAGCCCUAUCAGCAGGGAAGAAAGAAGACGGUACCUGACUAAGAAGCCCCGGCUAACUACGUGCCAGCAGCCGCGGUAAUACGUAGGGGGCGAGCGUUAUCCGGAUUCACUGGGUGUAAAGGGAGCGUAGACGGCCGUGCAAGCCAGGAGUGAAAGCCCGGGGCCCAACCCCGGGACUGCGCUUGGAACUGUGCGGCUGGAGUGCGGGAGGGGCAGGCGGAAUUCCUGGUGUAGCGGUGAAAUGCGUAGAUAUCAGGAGGAACACCGGCGGCGAAGGCGGCCUGCUGGACCGCGACUGACGUUGAGGCUCGAAAGCGUGGGGAGCGAACAGGAUUAGAUACCCCGGUAGUC
rnacentral:rRNA from 1 species